GGGCCGUUAGCUCAGCGGUAGAGCGACCCCUUUACACGGGGAAGGUCGGGGGUUCGAUCCCCUCACGGCCCA
rnacentral:tRNA from 1 species